UUGGGGCUCUUAUCUCUUUAAUCAUCAAACAACCUCACUUUCUCAAUCUCAUUUUCUUCUCCUCUUUCGUUCUCCGUCUCCCCUGUGAGUUUUCCCUCUUUAUCCUACCACCGCCAUCAUUAUCAUCAAGAUCAACCAAACCCUUAUUGUCGUCGAGGAAGAAAGGUAUCGUCACUACCAGCACAUGAACUAUUUCUUCUCCUUUUUUGUUUUACUUCUACGAAGUAAACCCUAGAUUCAAAUUUUUUUCCUUCUCUUUUAGGCUUUUUCCACUCAAAAUCUUUAAUCUGAUUUCUGAUCUUAGUUCAAGUUCAUGCUCACCAUGUCAUUACUUAGAUUAAUCUGAUUAUAAAUCAUUUACAAAUUACAAUAUUUUGACCUAACGAGGGAAAUCAGAGAUAAUCUAAUUGCAAGUGUGUUUCUCUGUUCUAUGAGUGUUUUUUGGCAUGAGAUUUCCCCCCAAAUUCCUUCUCCCUUUUCAUAAGAUUUCUUUAUAAACCCAUUUGGAGAAUCGUUAACUCUUUUCUCAAACUUAAGUAAUUUGGGUUUUUUUCAUCAAAUGUCAGAUGUAUUAACAAAGGAAGAGAUGAUCAUGUAAGCUAGGCAGGCUCUCUAACCCUACAAGGGAAUCGGAGAGCGUUUUGGACGAAUAAUUAAGGAAGAAGGAUUUGGGGUCAUUAUGGAGAGAAAACACAAGCAAUGUCAUGCAUUACUUCCCCACUCAAGUUGGAUCGUAUAUCGACUUGACCUUGAACUUUGCAUUCAAGGAUAACUUCAAGAGGAUCUUUAGUUUCAAGAAUGAUAGAUAUGGUUAAUGGAAAUGAUUUGCUGGUAACUUGGCAUCUGGAGGUGUUGUUGGUGCUUCUUCAGGUGAUUUACAUCCUGAUACGCACUUUAGAACACUUGGCUUAAUUUCACUUGGCCAAAUCCUGAAUGUGAUACAUAUAUAUUAGUACUUUGAGUUCAUCUUUUAUUUUUCCUUGGAAUGUUUAGGAGCUUCUUCCCCUGGCGUGUACCUACACAGCUUAUACAAAGUAUCCUAAUGAAAUGAUCCAGAUGCAUAAUGGAAGAUUUAUUAAUAAGGACUCUAUGAGCUAUUUUAAUUGCUGGUGCACAUUUGGAGUUUUUAUGGCAGUCUUGUUUGUGAUUAAUGCAUGAAAUACUAUAGAACAAUGAGCAGGGGAUAUUAAUAUAGUGGCAUACAUUUUUGCAAUUUGUAUCAUUUUUUGUAAUGUACUUUGUUUUGUCUUCACGGUAUUUCUGUCUUGUUUUGGAGAAGGCUUUCAGAACAAUGAAGAAGAAGAAGGAGAAGGAGAAGGUUCUCUUGAUGGCGACUCCCCAAUGUGGGUUUUCUUUUACUAUAUGAUGCUCAUCUACUUCUACAUAAUUGGAUGUGGGUCUUUCUUGAUGGUGAUUAUAUGUUUGGCUGCAUGUGAGAGUUAACUGGGAAGCUACAAGAUGGAACAAUAUUUUUAAAUAGGUCCGUGGGGAAGAGCUUUCCGAGUUCAAACAAAUAAUGAUGAAGUAAUUGGCGGACUUGAUAAAGCUGUAAUAAACAAGAAAAAGGGUGAGAUGGCACUUGUGAGUAUGUGGCCAUAGAACCCAAAUACGCUUUUGGCUUUCCAUAGUAUCAUUAAGAACUCGAUGUUGUUCCUCCUGGUUCAAUCAUCUCUUACUGAAGUUGGCUUGUAUCUUUCGUUAAGGGGAUGGAAUCCUGGGACAUGGACAAUGGUGAGAACAUUGUGGAUGCUGGCAAACAGAAGAAAGAAGGUAGUGCAAGAUAUAUGGGACCAACUAUUCAAAAUUAUCGUAGUACAUCUUUUCUUGUACAAUAAUGAUCCAGGUGUUUUGGGGUAAAAACUGAUUCUGCUGGAAAUGGUAAAUUUGGGUGUGCCAUCGAGAAACAAAUCUAAACCCUAAACAAAUGCACUACACAGGAGUACUUUAGAUUCGAGAGAUCAAUCUAUAAAAUUCUGGUCUAAACCAAGAAAUUGUCGUUCUAGUCUUGCUUCAGCCAUAAAAUGAAGGAGAAGGGUUGAUCUUAAGGAGGGAAGUGAAGAAGGUAUUGAGAUCAGAAUGGUUAACUCUGAAGGUGUGGUUGUUUAUGACUCGUAUCAGAAUAUAAAACUUGCUUACGGAAUAUAAGCUAUAAGUACUUGGUGUUUUCUGGAUACUUGUGUUGAUAACGCUUGUUGGUUGAAAAAGGUUGAAAACCUAUUUAUACAAGUCAUAGUUGAACGCA